GAUGAACGCUGGCGGCGUGCCUAAUACAUGCAAGUCGAGCGAACGGACGAGAAGCUUGCUUCUCUGAUGUUAGCGGCGGACGGGUGAGUAACACGUGGAUAACCUACCUAUAAGACUGGGAUAACUUCGGGAAACCGGAGCUAAUACCGGAUAAUAUUUUGAACCGCAUGGUUCAAAAGUGAAAGACGGUCUUGCUGUCACUUAUAGAUGGAUCCGCGCUGCAUUAGUUAGUUGGUAAGGUAACGGCUUACCAAGGCAACGAUGCAUAGCCGACCUGAGAGGGUGAUCGGCCACACUGGAGCUGAGACACGGUCCAGACUCCUACGGGAGGCAGCAGUAGGGAAUCUUCCGCAAUGGGCGAAAGCCUGACGGAGCAACGCCGCGUGAGUGAUGAAGGUCUUCGGAUCGUAAAACUCUGUUAUUAGGGAAGAACAUAUGUGUAAGUAACUGUGCACAUCUUGACGGUACCUAAGCAGAAAGCCACGGCUAACUACGU
rnacentral:rRNA from 1 species